ACCUGGGAAAGUAGAUAACUGCAAUUGGCGGUGUUUGGGGUCUGAAGGCAUAUGCAGGGGGAGAUGGGAGGAGGACCCACGAUGAUUCCCAGGCGGCUAAUUUUGGUGAGUUGGCAGGUGAUGGGUCUACUGAUGACAAUGAGUCAUACAGGAGGAAAAGCAGGUUGUCCAAGGGAAGAGGGAAGGUGACAUAUAGGGUCCUCCCAGAUGUUUGAGAAUUAGUGAGUUCAGAGCAGCAUGUGCUGAGUAGGAGUGUGUGGAGGACGGCCAUGUGGGCUGUCCACAGUCAGCAGGUGGCAGCAAUGGCUGGAGUCCUCAGCCCCAAGAAGGUGGUGGGAGCCACUGGAGUGGAUGAGGCAGCUUUGGGAGAGUGUACUGAGUGAGAAGAGAAGAGGGUAUAAGCAGAAGUCUGGGGAGCACUGGCAUUUUAGGAAGCAGCCAAUAAAGAGUUGCCUGUGGAGGAGAAAGAACAGCCAGGGACAGAGAAACCAGGUCAGGGGGCGAGGGGUGGUGGUGUUGGAGGAUGUCAUGAAAAAGCCAUCCAGGAGACCCACCUACAGAGAGGCCAGUUGAGGUCCCUGGUGACUUUUGCCACAGUAAUUCAGCAGAGGGGUGGGGACAGAAGCAGACUGCACCUUUUCAGAAAGCUUGCAAGGGAGGGAGAAAGGCAGAGCAGAGGGCAGAGGGAUCAGAGCUAAAGAAGAGUUUACUUUUUCCAGGAGUCAGAAAGAGAUGCUUAGACAAAAGGGAAGGAACCAGUAGACUGCCAUUUGUGCUCUCUAUGUCCCCCCAGUCCUCAGCCCAGGUAUUUCUGACUCUUGUCAUCGUCUUCAACAUGUUCUUCUGGCUCAGACUGACUCUUCCCUCAACCUCAACUUGAAGAGAAGAUCCUGGUCUUUCUGCUUCCUGCCUGUUUUCCCUAUUAAUGGGUGUGGAGUUAAUGGGGGUUGGAUUCUCUCUGGAGACCAGCCCUCACUGCCAGGCUCCCUUCCGAAUGCAGCAGACCAAAGGCAGUACAGGCACUGGUACCCCUUUCCCCCCAGUUAACCAUCAAAACUACUGUUCCCAAAAGCGAGUAAACUUUUGGUUCUUGGGAACAAGAUAAGUUGGCCUGUGGAGCCAAAGUGUUUCCCAUUUACUUUACUCAGGAGGGGUAGAAAAGUGAAUUGAUGCCCCCCUGGGAUUAGCCCUCAACCAAUAACUGAUGGAAGUUAGGGGAUGAAUCUUCCAGCCUCCUCACCCUUCGGAUGAGAUAACCGUGAGGCCUAUGUCCUCCUCUUUCCCAGAGGUCCCCAGCAGGAUUAAACUCAGUUGCCCAUGGAGGUAACUUGCUCCAUUACAUAUUCUUUAUCAACUUCUUUCCCUUCUCUGUCUCAUUUCCCAUCUCCAUGCUGCUGUUUCUUGGGAUCGCCUCCCAAAUAAACAACUUGCAUGCAAAUCCACGUCUCAGACUUGCCUUUUAGAAGAGCCCAAACUAAGAUAUCUCCUGUUUGAACAGACAGCAGUCUAAUUUCCUGCAGAAUUCUCCCAUCCUUACUCUAACCACUCACACCUCCUCACAGAGCUUGUUCUCUCAUUGACUGUUGAUUGGCCCAGGGAUGGGAUUGGCCCCAAAUUGAGCUCAUCGGUUAUACUUGCCUUGCUCAAUUGAUUGGCCCAAUGUGACAAUGUAAUCCAUGCUGAUCUCCUAAGUGUCCUUCCCCGAGACUUUUGAACAUAGGACAAGGAGACUAUCCAUUAGAUGAUAAAUACAGUGAGUAAUGAGGCUCUAGACCGGCUGGCUGAUGGCCUGCUGUUUGGAAAUACUGCUCUGCUGGAUGAGAAAAAUGAUUCUAGGACAUUCAGAAAAGGAAGCAGAAACGAGACGGGAGCCAGUGAGUGCUCGGAAAGCAUUUGUGUCUUGGGCUCCAUUUAUCUUCGAAGCCCACUGACUUGUUUUCCUUCCUGCAUGCAGAUCUGGAAAUUUCCUGUGAAGACAUGAUUGAGAGCUGCACUUGAAAAACUGGAAGUUCUGGCAAAAUGGAGCCCAUAUCAAUAGCUGGAGUGACGAAUAGCUGCCCCUUUCGAUGGGGCAUCCACUCUCCAGUUUGCCGCAGAUCCCACCGGGCCCCUUCACUCAUAUAUGUUACUUGCCUGGCCCUUAGUCAUUUGAGAUUGUAAUCCUGGACAUUUUCAACCAACCUUCCCAACAGCCCUGCAAGGUGAGUGCCCUUAGCCCCAUUUUACAGAUGAUGAAACAGAGUCAAAGGUGAAGUGAUCUGUCCCAGGUCACACAGUUAGGGAAUAAUGGAGCUGGGUUGUAA